AGAAGGUGCAUGAUACAAACGGAGUGAAACAAGUUUCUUCCACAAAGAGUUUGGUGUCCUACAAUACACCAAAUGAUCCUGUGCAGAGGACUGGGCUCAGAGACCUCAGAAAAGCCACUGAAAUACAAGUUCAAGGCCAAAAUUUCUUUAUCUCCAUACUGUCAGGUAUGAUGUUGGACAUCCAGGAAACAUCAGGCUUGAAAAUGCACCAUCUCUGAUGAAGAACCUGCUGAAGAAGGAAUGGGGGAUGGACAGCAGCAUCCUUUGAGGCCUUUUUGCCCAACCCAAAUGUUGCAGAAAAGACCCUGAGAGCCCAAAAGACAGUUUCAGUCUGUGAAGGCGGAGAUGAAUGAAAGGUUUUAGCUCUGAGAAGAUUUACAUGGAUAUGUAGGGUCAACUUGGAUGGAUCACAUUCAUCCAUUAUGAACAGCUCAUGCUGCCAUUCCUUAAUGUGUGUUGGUGACGCACUGGAACAGGCUGCCCAAGAAAGUUGUGAAUGCUCCAUCCCUGGCAGUGUUCAAGGCCAGGUUGGAUGAAGCUUGGAGCAAGUUGCUCUAGUGGAAGGUGUCCCUG